rnacentral:lncRNA from 1 species
AUUUCCUUGACCUUUACACAGAGGCUUGCCAAUUCUGGUCUAGAAUCAUGAGGUACAGCUUAUUCUACAGCUCAGUGCUUGUUGUCAUCAGCAUAAGUAGGAGACCUUAAGAGGAUUAGAGAGGAGCACAGAUCCGCACUGAACUGAGAUGCUGGCUCAUGGUUUCCUUUUAUCUCCCUCAGCACACCUCCUGUGCCGUGAACUGCACUUCUGUGGUAACCGUGAUGCUUACCUUGAGUGGCAUUUUGCAGUACUCGCUGAGCUGUGGCACGUCAAAGACCAGACGCCGCAGGAGUUGCUGUAACAUGGAAGGUCUCAAGUGACUGCAGCAAAGAACACCCAAGGAGCUAUGGAGGCGAGACCAGGCCCUUCACUGGUAAAGGAGAUGCACGGGAGAAUUCAUGAAAGCACCUGGAGGAGAUGAAUACAGAAGACACAACCAGUGGCAUCAGGCAGCUUCCAUGUUGACAUUCUAAGCUGAGUGGCUGUAAUGGGGAAGUCUCUGCAUUAUUACUGAAGGUCUCCGUGAAUUUUAAAAGAAGACGGCGUUCUUAAUUCCUAAAAACUUGCCUUGUGAUAAAAGGAGCUGGGCUAACAAAGGCGAAUGAAAAUCCAUCCACAAAGAAACAGCCCUACCCGAAUGUAGUAACUAUGACUUAAAAUUGACUCGGUGUUUCUUACUACUGUUCAGUGAUUAGCAAUUGUUAUCCAAGACUAACAUGAAUAAAGGCCGGGG